CAACGACUCUCGGCAACGGAUAUCUCGGCUCUCGCAUCGAUGAAGAACGUAGCGAAAUGCGAUACUUGGUGUGAAUUGCAGAAUCCCGUGAACCAUCGAGUCUUUGAACGCAAGUUGCGCCCGAAGCCGUCAGGCCGAGGGCACGUCCGCCUGGGCGUCAUGC
rnacentral:rRNA from 1 species